rnacentral:rRNA from 1 species
UACAGAGGUGGCAAGCGUUGUCCGGAUUUAUUGGGCGUAAAGAGCGUGUAGGCGGCCAGACAGGUCCGUUGUGAAAACUCGAGGCUCAACCUCGAGACGUCGACGGAAACCGUCUGGCUAGAGUCCGGAAGAGGAGUGUGGAAUUCCUGGUGUAGCGGUGAAAUGCGCAGAUAUCAGGAAGAACACCUAUGGCGAAGGCAGCACUCUGGGACGGUACUGACGCUGAGACGCGAAAGCGUGGGGAGCGAACAGG